rnacentral:misc_RNA from 1 species
AAGUCGUAACAAGGUUUCCGUAGGUGAACCUGCGGAAGGAUCAUUAUCGAGUUAGGGUCUCCGGGCCCGAUCUCCAACCCUGUGUCUAUAUACCAUGUUGCUUUGGCGGGCCCGUCUACCGACCGCCGGGGGUCCUCGCCGACCCCGGGCCCGUGCCCGCCAGUGGCCCCUUCAAACUCUUGACCAAUUGUGAUGUCUGAGUACCAAACUUAAUAGUUAUAAAA